ACGCUCGACACCUACGGGAGGCAGCAGUUGGGAAUAUUGGACAAUGGAGGAAACUCUGAUCCAGUGACGCCGCGUGAAGGAAGAAGGUCUUCGGAUUGUAAACUUAUUUUGUCAGGGAAGAAAAAAUGACUGUACCUGAAGAAAAAGCACCGGCUAACUACGUGCCAGCAGGCGGUAAUCUGAGCGGGCUGCAAGGC
rnacentral:rRNA from 1 species